UUAAAACCUAAAAUAAAAUGCACCAGACAUCUCUGAACUCAUGUCAAAGCUUCAGGUCACCACCACCAUGGGCCACCGCGCAUGAAAUCGCCUAUGUGGCGAUGGCCACCAGAAAUAAGAAUCGAACAUACCAACCAAACCGUCUCAACCUCCUCAUCUAAAAUCCGCAACCAAACUUCCUUGAUUCUAACCCUAUCUCAAUAAUCGCAGUGAAGAGUUUAAGAACCCUAAAAAUCAAACCCUAAAUGCAUAGAUUCAAAUCCCCUCGGAUUCGGGCUUUGAAUCUCCUCCCUAAUCCUCACAUGUCAGGAACUGGAAUUUGAAGAAAAGAAGACCUUGAAGGUUACCUUGUCAGAGAUCUCGAAGGUGAAGAUGAUGAACUCAGAUGGAUUUCUACUUCCAAGUGAUGAUUCUGACUUUCCUUCUUUGUUCUUUAAUUUGGAAUCUUUCUUCUCCUUCUUCUUUUCUUGUGGGCGAUUGUUGAAUUCGAAUGUUGAAAAUUAUGGUUCUGAUGAUGACGGUUAGGAUGUUGAUCAAGACGAGAUUUUGUUGAGUGCUGCAGGUGAGUGGUGAAGAUGAUGCAAAUGGUUGAAGAUUGAUGACGAUUGAAGGUGAAUGUUGAUAAUUUUCUAGAGUCAAGGUAAAUCUAAUUUGGGAGGAUUGAUAAGAUGAUUGGAGGUUUUUUAUGAUCAAUGAAUAGGGAGCCAAUAAUUGGAUAUUGAGGAAUAUUUAUGGGUGGUUUUGAUGCAUAGGGAUUGUGAAAAUUAUGUUAGAAUUCCGUUGGUAUUUGUGGAAUCGAUGCAUGGUUGUUAUAACUAACUUUUGGUCCUUGUCGAUCCCCAUGCAGUCCGGCUGGCAUUAUUUAAUUAGUGAAGUUAGUAUUGAGUAGGUUAAGUUAGUUUAAGGAUUAUGUUAGGUUAAGAUAGUUAGUUAGUUGAUUUGAUAUUGUGAUGCUAAAGGUUAUGUUAGUUAGUUUAUGAUGCUACUGAUGCAUUGGAAUUGUAGCUUGGAUAUGUUGUUUUUGCAAGUCUGAUAUGUUAUGCCCAGAUUGCAGGUUUGAUGCAGGGUUUUGGCUUAAUUUUAUUGUGAUGCAAGUCUUGGUAAUUGCUUGGUCUAUGUUGCCAUGGUGAUGGCACUUUUGAUGGUUUGUUCGAUGCAAGUGUGCAGGGUGCUAAGUGUCAUGGCAAGAUGCAAGUGUGCAGGGUGCUAAGUGUCAUGGCAAGUUAGAGGGAUGGUACUUGAUAGAUCUGGCCUUGCAGCAGGUCUAUGAUGCAAGUUUGGCUCAUGACAUGUUUGGUAUUGCAACAGGUUUUGGUGCUUGAUGAUGAUGAAUUGCAUAUGUAUGUUAUGGUUCCAUGGAGGCUUAUGGCAUGAUGGUUGAACAACCAAGGUUACAUGACACUCAAUUUUGGAUUAUGAAGCAUGAUAUGAAAGAGGAAAUCCAAUGAAUCAUGAUGGAACUUGAAGAUUAGGGUUAGGAUCGGGAUUUGGGAUUUGGGAUUUUUGGAAUUGGGUUGACUUUGGUCAAAGUUAACCAAAUGUAAACUGUUGACCAAAGUCAACAUUUGGUCAACACUUCAUUUUUUGUAUUUUAUUCAUGUAUGGACAUUUUUAUGAUUAAUGUAAUGGAAUUUGAUAUUUGAAUGAA